rnacentral:ncRNA from 1 species
CUAGGUGAUUCUACUAGUAAUUAUAUAGUUAUUUUAAAGAUUAAAUUAUAUAUAUCUAAAUAUAAGUAAUUAUAUAGUAAAACUAUAAGUAACUUAUUAUAUAAAUUAUUAUUUUUUAAUAAUAUCUUACAAUUGAAAUAAUUAUAAUAAUUCUAAAGUUAAUAUAUAUUAAGAAUUCUAAUUUUAGAAGAAAUAUAUAUAUUAGAUUAAAAACUAAUACUCUUUAGAACUUAUUAGUAAUUUAUAAUAAUUUCUCAAACUAUAUAACUUUAUAUUAAUAAUAAUUUAUUCAAAUGUCUUUUUUAUUAACUUUUAAUAUUAGAAUAGUAUUCUAGUAUAAUUAUAAUAAAUAAUAGAAGGUCAGAAUUUAACUCUAGAGAAAGAACUUGAGAAAUAACUAUUAUAUCUAAAGAAAGUAGUAGGUAUAUAAAUUACUUAAUCUUAAUAUAAAGAUGUAGUAAUAAUAAAUACUAAUAUAAAGUUCUUUUAAGUCUUAUAAUUAAAAUAAAUAUAAUUUAAAUCUCUUAAUAAGAAAUAAUUAGAAAGUAAGUCUAAUACUAAUAACUAUAAUAAUUCUAAUUCCAAUAGUAUAUCUUCAAGUUAUUUUAAUUAGAAAGCUUAUAAUAGAACCUUAACUCUAACUAGCUAGUUUAUCUUAUUAUAUAUAUUAGUCUAAUUAGAUCUUUCUUUCUAUAGAACCAUAUACAUUUUAUUAAAUAUAUUAAAAAAAUAGGACUUUUACUUUAAAGAAAUAAGAAUAUUCUAAAUAAACCUAUAUUCAAAUAUAUUAGUAUAGAAUAAUAGAAUAAGAUAUAUAGUUUUAUUUUAUUAAUUUCUAGGACUACUAUAAUAAUUAAUACGAAUAAUUAGAAGUAUUUAUAUUUAAUUAUUAGAAGUAGAAUUCUUAGAUUUAUUAAGAACUAACUACUAUAAAAGUAUUUAUUAAAUAUAUUUUUAUUUAUUAGGAAUAGGGGCUAGGAAAUUGAAGAUAAUUAGAUAUUAUAAUAGUCUUAACGAUAAAUUAUACUAACUAGAAAUUAAAUAAUAUUAUUUUUUAAAUUAUUUAAUACUUUAUGAGAAAUUAAAAUACUUAAACUCUA